ACUCCUACGGGAGGCAGCAGUGGGGAAUAUUGCACAAUGGGCGCAAGCCUGAUGCAGCCAUGCCGCGUGUAUGAAGAAGGCCUUCGGGUUGUAAAGUACUUUCAGCGGGGAGGAAGGCGAUAAGGUUAAUAACCUUGUUGAUUGACGUUACCCGCAGAAGAAGCACCGGCUAACUCCGUGCCAGCAGCCGCGGUAAUACGGAGGGUGCAAGCGUUAAUCGGAAUUACUGGGCGUAAAGCGCACGCAGGCGGUCUGUCAAGUCGGAUGUGAAAUCCCCGGGCUCAACCUGGGAACUGCAUUCGAAACUGGCAGGCUAGAGUCUUGUAGAGGGGGGUAGAAUUCCAGGUGUAGCGGUGAAAUGCGUAGAGAUCUGGAGGAAUACCGGUGGCGAAGGCGGCCCCCUGGACAAAGACUGACGCUCAGGUGCGAAAGCGUGGGGAGCAAACAGGAUUAGAAACCCCGGUAGUCCCAUG
rnacentral:rRNA from 1 species